AUACUUAUCUGUCAGGGAAGACACCAUGAUCAGGAAGGUGGUUUUUCCCAGGGCAAGGCUCAUCCAUUCCACUGAAAGUGUUAUGACCCUAUGUCACAGCCAUGCUGCCCAUUGGGCAC
rnacentral:snRNA from 11 species